UACGUAGGGCGCAGGCGUUAAUCGGAAUUACUGGGCGUAAAGCGUGCGCAGGCGGUUUCUUAAGUCCGAUGUGAAAGCCCCGGGCUUAACCUGGGAACUGCGUUUGAAACUGGGAGACUUGAGUGUGGCAGAGGGGGGUGGAAUUCCACGUGUAGCAGUGAAAUGCGCAGAUAUCAGGAGGAACACCGGUGGCGAAGGCGGGUCUCUGGGCCGAUACUGACGCUGAGGAGCGAAGGCGUGGGGAGCGAACAGG
rnacentral:rRNA from 1 species